ACCCAGCUGACGAGUCCCAAAUAGGACGUAACGGGUGUCCUGGAU
rnacentral:hammerhead_ribozyme from 1 species